CUCCGGGAGAAGCACGCCGGCACAGCGAAACCUCCUCUCCGCGCGACCGAACUCAGAUCUCGACGCCGCCGAGCUUCAGAAGGACGGCGGCUCCGGGCUCCAGGCGGGGAGGGGGUGCUUUCCGCCGCCGCGACGCAGAUCCGACCGCUGCCACGGCCGGAGGGGGAGAACUACUGAACCAGGACCGCGGAGCACCUCCGCCGCUGCUACUGACGGACACUGCUUCCUGCAACCGUGGCCCCGGCCCACUCUGUGCAGCAGGGGAGGAGGAGGUCGCCUUGCUUCGCUUUGCUUCUUCUGUCUUCCUCGUGCUGCCGGCUCCUGCUCGCCUCGUAUGCCCUCGAGAGACUAGACUCCUCGGGGUUUUAAGUUUUAACCCGACGAGUGGUGCUGGUCCUUGUCG
rnacentral:misc_RNA from 1 species